AUACUUACCUGGCAGGGAGAUACCAUGAUCAUGAAGGUGGUUUUCCCAGGGCAAGGCUUAUCCAUUGUACUCCAGAUGUGCUGACCCCGUCGAUUUCCCCAAAUGUGGAAAACUUGACUGCAUAAUUUGCGGUAGUGGGAGACUGUGUUCGCAUUCUCUCCUG
ensembl:snRNA U1 U1 spliceosomal RNA